AUACGGAGGGUCCGAGCGUUAUCCGGAAUCAUUGGGUUUAAAGGGUCCGUAGGCGGGAAUCUAAGUCAGUGGUGAAAUCUUGCAGCUCAACUGUAAAAUUGCCAUUGAUACUGGAUUUCUUGAAUUAGUGUGAAGUGGUUAGAAUGUGUAGUGUAGCGGUGAAAUGCAUAGAUAUUACAGAGGAUACCAAUUGCGAAGGCAGAUCACUAACACUAUAUUGACGCUGAGGGACGAAAGCGUGGGGAGCGAACAGGAUUAGAAACCCGAGUAGUCC
rnacentral:rRNA from 1 species